UACGUAGGGGCAAGCGUUGUCCGGAAUCAUUGGGCGUAAAGCGCGUGUAGGCGGCCAGAAAAGUCCGCUGUGAAAACUCGAGGCUCAACUUCGAGCUGUCGGUGGAAACUUUCUGGCUAGAGUCCGGAAGAGGAGAAUGGAAUUCCUGGUGUAGCGGUGAAAUGCGCAGAUAUCAGGAAGAACACCCGUGGCGAAGGCGGUUCUCUGGGACGGUACUGACGCUGAGACGCGAAAGCGUGGGGAGCGAACAGG
rnacentral:rRNA from 1 species